UGACAUGGCAUGUUACCUCGAGAGAUCGGGGAUCCUCUUCGGAGGCGUGCACACAGGUGCUGCAUGGCUGUCGUCAGCUCGUGUCGUGAGAUGUUGGGUUAAGUCCCGCAACGAGCGCAACCCACGUCCUUAGUUGCCAUCAUUCAGUUGGGCACUCUAGGGAGACUGCCGGUGAUAAGCCGCGAGGAAGGUGUGGAUGACGUCAAGUCCUCAUGGCCCUUACGGGAUGGGCUACACACGUGCUACAAUGGCGGUGACAGUGGGACGCGAAGCCGCGAGGUGGAGCAAAUCCCCAAAAACCGUCUCAGUUCGGAUUGCACUCUGCAACUCGGGUGCAUGAAGGCGGAAUCGCUAGUAAUCGUGGAUCAGCACGCCACGGUGAAUACGUUCCCGGGCCUUGUACACACCGCCCGUCACACCAUGGGAGUUGGUCUUACCCGACGGCGCUGCGCCAACCGCAAGGAGGCAGGCGACCACGGUAGGGUCAGCGACUGGGGUGAAGUCGUAACAAGGUAGCCGUAGGGGAACCUGCGGCUGGAUCACCUCCUUUCUAAGG
rnacentral:rRNA from 2 species